GACGAACGCUGGCGGCGUGCUUAACACAUGCAAGUCGAACGGAAAGGCCCUGCUUUUGUGGGGUGCUCGAGUGGCGAACGGGUGAGUAACACGUGAGUAACCUGCCCUUGACUUUGGGAUAACUUCAGGAAACUGGGGCUAAUACCGGAUAGGAGCUCCUGCUGCAUGGUGGGGGUUGGAAAGUUUCGGCGGUUGGGGAUGGACUCGCGGCUUAUCAGCUUGUUGGUGGGGUAGUGGCUUACCAAGGCUUUGACGGGUAGCCGGCCUGAGAGGGUGACCGGCCACAUUGGGACUGAGAUACGGCCCAGACUCCUACGGGAGGCAGCAGUGGGGAAUAUUGCACAAUGGGCGGAAGCCUGAUGCAGCGACGCCGCGUGCGGGAUGACGGCCUUCGGGUUGUAAACCGCUUUCGCCUGUGACGAAGCGUGAGUGACGGUAAUGGAUAAAGAAGCACCGGCUAACUACGUG
rnacentral:rRNA from 1 species